AUUGAACGCUGGCGGCGUGCUUAACACAUGCAAGUCGAACGGUAACAUGCAACUGAAGUGGCAACAUGGAAGUUGUGAUGACGAGUGGCGAACGGGUGAGUAAUGCAUCGGAACAUACCUAGUAGUUGGGGGAUAACUAUUCGAAAGGAUAGCUAAUACCGAAUAAGCUCUGAGGAGGAAAGGUUGGGAUACGAAAGUACCAGUCGCUACUAGAGUGGCCGAUGUCUGAUUAGCUAGUUGGUAGGGUAAAGGCCUACCAAGGCGAUGAUCAGUAGCUGUUCUGAGAGGAAGUACAGCCACACUGGAACUGAGACACGGUCCAGACUCCUACGGGAGGCAGCAGUGGGGAAUUUUGGACAAUGGGGGCAACCCUGAUCCAGCAACGCCGCGUGAAUGAAGAAGGCCCUUGGGUUGUAAAGUUCUUUUAUAACUGAGAAGAAGUCCUAGUUUAAGAGAUGGGGAUGGAGAUAGUAAGUUAUGAAUAAGCACGGCUAACUACG
rnacentral:rRNA from 1 species